rnacentral:rRNA from 1 species
GACGAACGCUGGCGGCGUGCUUAACACAUGCAAGUCGAACGGAAAGGCCCUGCUUUUGUGGGGUGCUCGAGUGGCGAACGGGUGAGUAACACGUGAGUAACCUGCCCUUGACUUUGUGAUAACUUCAGGAAACUGGGGCUAAUACCGGAUAGGAGCUCCUGCUGCAUGGUGGGGGUUGGAAAGUUUCGGCGGUUGGGGAUGGACUCGCGGCUUAUCAGCUUGUUGGUGGGGUAGUGGCUUACCAAGGCUUUGACGGGUAGCCGGCCUGAGAGGGUGACCGGCCACAUUGGGACUGAGAUACGGCCCAGAAUCCUACGGGAGGCAGCAGUGGGGAAUAUGGCACAAUGGGCGGAAGCCUGAUGCAGCAACGCCGCGUGCGGGAUGACGGCCUUCGGGUUGUAAACCGCUUUCGCCUGUGACGAAGCGUGAGUGACGGUAAUGGGUAAAGAAGCACCGGCUAACUACGUG